rnacentral:lncRNA from 1 species
GGCUGUGGUGGGACGCUGCUGACUCUGGCAUUUGCUGUACUCCAAUGAGGGCUUCCUGAGCCCACGUCUGUCGGACUCUAACUUGCAUUAUGCACGAGUAGUUCGACGCAGCCGGCGUCUCUCUCUCUCUCUCUCUCUCUCUCUCUCUCUUUCAACAAUUGCUGCUAUUGUCAAUGCUUGCAGCAGUAGGUAAUUGACUGACCACCACCAGCUUUUUUGUGCUGGCAUGUAUCCUAGGGGUGGAUGUGCAGCAGUUGCGUAUCAGUGAUUGCAGCGAUG